rnacentral:rRNA from 1 species
GACGAACGCUGGCGGCGUGCCUAAUACAUGCAAGUCGAGCGGAAGUUGGAGAGCUUGCUCUUCAACUUUAGCGGCGGACGGGUGAGUAACACGUGGGCAACCUGCCCUGCAGAUCGGGAUAACUCCGGGAAACCGGUGCUAAUACCGAAUAGUUUUCGCCACCUCCUGGUGGCGUACGGAAAGACGGUUUCGGCUGUCACUGCAGGAUGGGCCCGCGGCGCAUUAGCUAGUUGGUGGGGUAACGGCCCACCAAGGCAACGAUGCGUAGCCGACCUGGGAGGGUGAUCGGCCACACUGGGACCGAGACACGGCCCAGACUCCUACGGGAGGCAGCAGUAGGGAAUCUUCCGCAAUGGACGAAAGUCUGACGGAGCAACGCCGCGUGAGUGACGAAGGUUUUCGGAUCGUAAAACUCUGUUGUGAGGGAAGAACAAGUACCAACUAACUACUGGUACCUUGACGGUACCUCACCAGAAAGCCACGGCUAACUACGUGCCAGCAGCCGCCGUAA